UCUGCCUUAAAGUCACUUUCGCUGCCUGGAGUUCUGCACAAGUUGUUCGCAAAGUUGACACUUUUUCAUUUUGGACUCAGGCAGACUUUCUGAAAGCUUUUCGAGAGCAGUCUGAAGCGGUGGUUUAACGUUUUAAGAGCAGACUGGAGCACAUUCAGCCAAGAGUAGAUGUGCGGUUAUGUCUUAAAGGGAGGGGCUUGAACGGGAUUUCAGUUUGCUUUUAUCAUUGAGUGUAGUGGAGGACCGACUGCAGACUGGCUUCAUCUCCUCUCCUCACACUCGACUCAAGAGCUCUACUUUGUCCCGUUAAGAUCCACAGGGCACAAUCAUGGAGGAAAUGGACUUUGAGCGGCGCCGGGAGCUGAGGAGGCAGAAGCGGGAGGAGAUGCGCCUGGAGGCCGAGCGGUUGGCGAAGAAUGAUGAUGAUGAGGAGGAGGCGGCCCGCGAGAGGAGACGCAGGGCACGCCAGGAGAGAAUGAAGGGCAAGGAGAGUGACGAGCCCAGUGGACAGCCAGACAGUCUGGUUAUGACCAACAGCCACAGUGUGACAGAGACCGUGUCUGUGAGCAGCUCUUACGGAGGAGGCGGCGGAGACGACGAGGACCAGGCCCUGCUGGAUCGCAUGGCCAAACGCGAGGAGAGACGACAGAGACGCAUGAAGGAGGCACUGGAUAGACAAGGCGAGCUGGACCCCACCGCGACAGAGGGCCACGACGACGGCGUCGCCACGGAGAAAAACAACGCAGAAGAGGAGCAGCCAUCCUCCUGGCGUAAGGGUCGUUACCGUGACAAUGAGGAGGACGAGGAGAAGACAGAGACGUACAGCUCAAGGAGGGAGCAGAAGGAGCCGAGGGAGGAAGAACAGGCUGCUCCUGAGGGUGGAGAGGAAGAAGAGGAGGGUGUAGAUGAAGAGGAGGAGCAGAAAGUGGAGGUGGUGGAGGACAAACCGAGGAGGUCUUACUUGAGAGAACAGGAAUCAACUGAAGAACCUAAAAUGCAAAACCAGGAACUCGCUGAAGAAGAAACACAUUCAGUAGUCAGUGAGAUUUCAAACCAGGUCGAGUCAACAAAUUCAGGCACUGAGGAGGAUGCAGUAGCAUCAGAGGAGGCUGAGGAGGUACCUGAGGAUGAUUAUGUAGAUUAUUCAUCAGAGAAUAAGUCAAUGUCUCUCAGAAAUGUCUCUGAAGAGGACAAUGAGGUAUCUGAGAUACUGCAUUCAGAGGAUAAUGAGGUGAAGGAGAGAGGCAGGGCCAGGGAGGAGAGGGAGGAGGAGAGGAAGCAGAACGGAGGGCUGCACGACGAGGAGGCGGCUCCCAAACAGCACAGGAAACCUGAGAGGACCCUCAGUCGCGGCAGCGUGCGUUCCCUCGAGGUUUCCGCGGGUGACGACCAGGACGACGCCGCCCGCCUGGAGGCCGAGCGCAAGCUGGAGGAGCUGAAGCGCCGCCGCGACGACGCCGAGAGCGAGGAGUUCGAGAGGAUGAGGCAGAAGCAGCAGGAGGCCGAAGUGGAGCUGGAGGAGCUGAAGAAGAAGAGGGAGGAGAGGAAGAAGGUGCUGGAGGAGGAGGAAAGGCAGAAGAAGCAGGAGGAGGCGGAGAGAAAAGCCAGAGAUGAGGAGGAGAAGAGGAAGAUGAAGGAGGAGAUUGAAAGGAGAAGAGCAGAGGCAGCUGAGAAGAGACAGAAGGAGGAGGACACUGUGGACGACGAGGGCCGACCUUUCAAGUGCGUCAGCCCUCGAGGCUCCUCUCUGAAGAUUGGCGAGAGGGCAGAGUUCCUGAACAAGUCGGCACAGAAGAGCACAGUGAAGGCGUCUCCUUCUCCUGUGGUGUCCAAGAUAGACAACAGGCUGGAGCAGUACACCUCAGCUGCUCAGCAGAGAGAGAACAAGGAGUCUCGGUCCCCUCGCUCUGGAGCGGUAGACCUUCCCAUGGUUACCGACAGCAUUCGAAACAUUAAGAGCAUGUGGGAGAAAGGCAACGUGUUCGGCUCACCUGGCAAUGGCGGAAGCCCGUUCAAGGAAGCAGCUGUGAUGAAGACAGGCGUGGCGGGUCGCAUUAACGACUGGCUGAAUAAAACCCCGGAGAGCGGCAAAACGUCAGGAGGAAGGCCAACAGACCUGAAGCCUGUCGACGUGACCAACAAGAGGAGUCUAUGGGAAAACAAAGGUGCCUCUCCAACCAAGAACUCUCAUAGCUAGUUGGCCUCAUCGUUAAAUCUGGAAUAAGCCUGGAGAGGUGGCAGGCAGAGGGGAGACCAAAUCAAUCGCCAACGGUAUGGGACACUAAUGUCUUGAAGGAGCCACUAAAGCUGGGGACCACGACAAUCCAAGACUCUUCCUUUGACUUUGUCUUAAGAACCAAAUAAUGAUCAACCAAGAGGGACCCCAAGAAAGCGAAAGGACAGGAGAGACACUGUCCACGCACUGUACCUGAAACAGCAUCAUAUUUUUGUACGGUUGCAACGUGUAGUGCCUUUGCACAAUGAUUUUUGCUUUCUAAAAGAAACGAAAUGCUGUGAAAUUUGGACAUUUGUAAUUACUAUUACUAAUUACUUUAUACGAUCCUGCCAGAAAGAAAAAAACCUAAUUAAAUUUAGAUUUAUCUGUUGUACUCAAUGCCGACAGUUGAUAGAGACGAGUAGAUGAGUUAAAAGUUUCCACAUUCCAAAGAGAUGGGUGAAAUCAGUUCUCUCCCUCAUACAGUACAUUUGCCAUCUCUUUUUAUUUUAUUUAUAUUUAAAGCAAAAGCUUCACACAUUGCUAUUUUAUUCAACGUUCACCAGUUCAGGAUAGAAAUAUAAGCACUUCUAGAUUUUAGCUGAUUUCACUUUUAUUAUGUCUUACCAAUAGUGCAGCAAUGGUCUGAGUAAUAUAUGUUAGCACAUGUGAUGUUUUGAAUAUCAUACUGUAUCUUAUAUAACAUCUUUAUACUCAUAACAAAAGGUAUUUUUGCUUAUUUUGUAUCAACUAUUCAACAACAGGCAGUUAAUUUCGGUGGUGAUAGGAGUGUUGAAUAUUCAGAAGGCCAUUAUGACUUUUAUUAUCCUUUUAUGUCAUUUUAUUUAUGUUUUAUUGUGUUUUGUCCUUUUCUAUUUCUAGCUGUUUUGUAGCUUUUGUACCUGUUUGAUCACUUUAAAAACUUCAGACAUUCCUCUUAAAAAGCAGGUGCAUAAGGUGCCUUCGCUGUAGGUUUUACAAUGUAGGAAAUCGGCAAACCAACCCUCUUUUUCUAAAUCUACCUUAACUUCUACUAACUACUUUAUUGCCUCUAUGCACACUCUUAUGCUCAGCGAUCAUUUUCCUCUUGAGGGCAUAUAAGUAAAAUCAGGGUGCCUCAGCAUAUAGCAAGAUACUAGUACAAUACAAGGAUAUUUACCACUAUGUAAGUCUUCUGGCCUUAUGAUUGCAAUGAAAACAUUUAUGACAGCUGAGGUACAGUACAUGAUGGCCUCAAAGCAACUCAGUAUGAUAUUAAGACUUGUGAUUUUCGUGUUUAUUUUUCACUGACUUGGUCUUAAGUAGCACAUUCCCUUUCAUAGUUUUUGUGCGGCACAAGCUUUGAUAAUAUUAACGGUUUGCCGGGGCAUUAAAUUGAUCAAUGUUACUGCUCAAAAGUGUGACAAUCACAUUCCAUGGCUCCUGAAAAGAGCAGGGGAGCUUGACCAAAAUAUUUUCAAGCGUGAUUCAAUGUGACAUUUAUGUUGUUGUUUUUAAAUACAGUGGUUUCAUAAUGCCGUACUGUUAUGUUUUUUUUACAACCUUGUGUCCACUAUAUGUUUUUUAAAGUUCUUCCAUGUUUAACCAGACACUUGUUUGUGUAGCGCAAAGCCUAUGCAAAACACACUAUCUGUAGCCUCUCUAAACACUCCCAAUGUCAUACAAGUGGGCAGUUUCCAACUGGAUGAAUGUUUUAAACAUUGUACGCUUCACUCAAACAGCAAUAAAGACAUUGAGGUAUUCCACA